CAGUAGCCGCGGGAAAACGGAGGGUGCAAGCGUUAAUCGGAAUUACUGGGCGUAAAGCGCACGCAGGCGGUUUGUUAAGUCAGUUGUGAAAGCCCUGGGCUCAACCUGGGAAUUGCAGUGGGUACUGGGUCACUAGAGUGUGGUAGAGGAUAGUGGAAUUUCCGGUGUAGCAGUGAAAUGCGUAGAGAUCGGAAGGAACAUCUGUGGCGAAGGCGACUAUCUGGGCCAACACUGACACUGAGGCACGAAAGCGUGGGGAGCAAACAGGAUUAGAUACCCCAGUAGUCCCUGUCUCUUAUAC
rnacentral:rRNA from 1 species